rnacentral:rRNA from 1 species
GACGAACGCUGGCGGCGUGCUUAACACAUGCAAGUCGAACGGAAAGGCCCUGCUUUUGUGGGGUGCUCGAGUGGCGAACGGGUGAGUAACACGUGAGUAACCUGCCCUUGACUUUGGGAUAACUUCAGGAAACUGGGGCUAAUACCGGAUAGGAGCUCCUGCUGCAUGGUGGGGGUUGGAAAGUUUCGGCGGUUGGGGAUGGACUCGCGGCUUAUCAGCUUGUUGGUGGGGUAGUGGCUUACCAAGGCUUUGACGGGUAGCCGGCCUGAGCGGGUGACCGGCCAAAUUGGGAUGGAGAUGCGGCCCAGCCUCCUCCGGGAGGCAGCAGUGGGGAAGAUUGCACAAUGGGCGGAAGCCUGAUGCAGCAACGCCGCGUGCGGGAUGACGGCCUUCGGGUUGUAAACCGCUUUCGCCUGUGACGAAGCGUGAGUGACGGUAAUGGGUAAAGAAGCACCGGCUAACUACGUG